rnacentral:rRNA from 1 species
AACGAACGCUGGCGGCAUGCCUAACACAUGCAAGUCGAACGAGACCUUCGGGUCUAGUGGCGAACGGGUGCGUAACGCGUGGGAACCUGCCCUUAGGUUCGGAAUAACUCCCCGAAAGGGGUGCUAAUACCGGAUAAUGUCUUCGGACCAAAGAUUUAUCGCCUUUGGAUGGGCCCGCGUUGGAUUAGCUAGUUGGUAGGGUAAAAGCCUACCAAGGCGACGAUCCAUAGCUGGUCUGAGAGGAUGAUCAGCCACACUGGGACUGAGACACGGCCCAGACUCCUACGGGAGGCAGCAGUGGGGAAUAUUGGACAAUGGGCGAAAGCCUGAUCCAGCAAUGCCGCGUGAGUGAUGAAGGCCUUAGGGUUGUAAAGCUCUUUUACCCGGGAUGAUAAUGACAGUACCGGGAGAAUAAGCUCCGGCUAACUCCAUG